rnacentral:rRNA from 2 species
GAACAAUGUCAAAACACUUUCAGCAAUGGAUGUCUUGGCUCCCACACCGAUGAAGAACGCAGUGAAAUGCGAUACGUCAUGCGAAUUGCAAAAUCAGUGAGUCAUCAAAACUUUGAACGCAUCUUGCACUUCCUUCGGGGAGUAUGUCUGUUGGAGUGUCUGUUCAUCCCCACCAU